rnacentral:rRNA from 1 species
UAANGAACCCCGGCGCGGAAUGCGCCAAGGAAAACCUAAAUGAAUCGCCCGACCCCCUCUGUUGCCCCGUACGCGGUGUGCACAAAGGGGGUAUGGUGCGUAUCUUSAAUGUCAAAACGACUCUCGGCAACGGAUAUCUCGGCUCUCGCAUCGAUGAAGAACGUAGCGAAAUGCGAUAC